rnacentral:lncRNA from 1 species
UUCCCGCUUCAGGCCUCUUCCCAGCCCGCUGUGGGAACCAGGAGGAGGAGGAGGCUUUUACUUGUCUUUUCCUGAGGACUGCCAACAUUGCUAUGGAAACCCCCCAAAAAUAAAGACUUUCCCAGCCUUGUGAGAGCACACCUGCAAGAACAAGAAUUGCAGUUAGCCUUUUGCCUGUCAAAAACUACUCUCCUUCAAUAUCAGUGUCGCUUAAGGACAUCUUUUAUGUUUGGUAUGAUUUGUUAUCUUAAAAUUUGUA